rnacentral:rRNA from 1 species
CAGGGUGACAGGUGGUGCAUGGUUGUCGUCAGCUCGUGUCGUGAGAUGUUGGGUUAAGUCCCGCAACGAGCGCAACCCUCGCCUCUAGUUGCCAGCAUUCGGUUGGGCACUCUAGAGGGACUGCCGGCGACAAGUCGGAGGAAGGUGGGAUGACGUCAAAUCAUCAUGCCCCUUAUGACCUGGGCUACACACGUGCUACAAUGGGCGGUACAAAGGGCUGCGAACCCGCGAGGGGGAGCGAAUCCCAAAAAGCCGCUCUCAGUUCGGAUUGCAGGCUGCAACUCGCCUGCAUGAAGCCGGAAUCGCUAGUAAUCGCGGAUCAGCAUGCCGCGGUGAAUACGUUCCCGGGCCUU